GGAUGAGAUCGUACCAGCACUAAUGCACUGGAUCUCAUGAGAACUUCGCAAUUAAGUGUACUUGGGCUAGAGUAGUACUAGGAUGGGUGACCUCCUGGGAAGUCCUCGUGUUGCACCUC
rnacentral:rRNA from 1 species